rnacentral:rRNA from 1 species
UACAGAGGUGGCAAGCGUUGUUCGGAAUUACUGGGCGUAAAGGGCGCGUAGGCGGUUCGUUAAGUCCUGUGUGAAAUCCCCCGGCUCAACUGGGGAACUGCACAGGAAACUAGCGGGCUUGAGUUCGGGAGAGGGAAGCGGAAUUCUGGGUGUAGCGGUGAAAUGCGUAGAUAUCAGGAGGAACACCGGUGGCGAAGGCGGGUCUCUGGGCCGAUACUGACGCUGAGGAGCGAAAGCGUGGGGAGCGAACAGG